UACGGAGGGUGCAAACGUUGCUCGGAAUCAUUGGGCGUAAAGCGCACGUAGGCGGUCCAGCAAGUCGGGUGUGAAAGCCCUCGGCUUAACCGAGGAAGUGCAUUCGAAACUACUGGACUUGAAUACUGGAGAGGAUCGCGGAAUUCCCGGUGUAGAGGUGAAAUUCGUAGAUAUCGGGAGGAACACCAGUGGCGAAGGCGAGUCCCUGGACAAUACCUGACACUGAGGCACGAAAGCCAAGGGAGCAAACAGG
rnacentral:rRNA from 1 species